GAUGAAGAACGUAGCGAAAUGCGAUAAGUAAUGUGAAUUGCAGAAUUCAGUGAAUCAUCGAAUCUUUGAACGCACAUUGCGCCCGCCAGUGUUCUGGCGGGCAUGCCUGUUCGAGCGUCAUUUCAACCAUCAAGCCCCAGGCUUGUGUUGGGGACCUGCGGCUGCCGCAGGCCCUGAAAACCAGUGGCGGGCUCGCUGUCACACCGGGCGUAGUAGAUUUUAUCUCGCUCAGGGCGUGCUGCGGGUUCCGGCCGUUAAAAAGCCUUUUUUACCCAAGGUUGACCUCGGAUCAGGUAGGAAGACCCGCUGAACUUAAGCAUAUCAAUAAGCGGAGGA
rnacentral:misc_RNA from 1 species